rnacentral:rRNA from 1 species
AACGAACGCUGGCGGCAUGCCUAACACAUGCAAGUCGAACGAUUGCCUUCGGGUGAUAGUGGCGCACGGGUGCGUAACGCGUGGGAAUCUGCCCUUAGGUUCGGAAUAACAGCUGGAAACGGCUGCUAAUACCGGAUGAUAUCGCGAGAUCAAAGAUUUAUCGCCUGAGGAUGAGCCCGCGUUGGAUUAGGUAGUUGGUGGGGUAAAGGCCUACCAAGCCGGCGAUCCAUAGCUGGUCUGAGAGGAUGAUCAGCCACACUGGGACUGAGACACGGCCCAGACUCCUACGGGAGGCAGCAGUGGGGAAUAUUGGACAAUGGGCGCAAGCCUGAUCCAGCAAUGCCGUGUGAGUGAUGAAGGCCCUAGGGUUGUAAAGCUCUUUUACCCGGGAAGAUAAUGACUGUACCGGGAGAAUAAGCCCCGGCUAACUCCGUG